AACCAGGAAGGAGAAAGGGGGGGAAACCCCUUAUUAUCACAAAUUCACCAAAUUGAAGCCCCAAAUGUGAUCCUAAGUUCGUGCAUGUACUAAUAUUGGAUCAUCUACACAUUAUUAAACACAAGGAAUAAAAGAAGAAAGUUCAAAUCAAUCCGGAUCGCAAGCGAAGGACGGCAAAGGUAAAGCAACUUGUUGAUGGCGCUACUUGGGUUGAACACACUUGUGAUGCACGCUUCCGCGAAGACACUAGUUUGGGUUAAAACUUUUGUUAA